ACAAGGUUUCCGUAGGUGAACCUGCGGAAGGAUCAUUGUCGAGACCCUAAAGAGAUCGAGAGAUUUGACAACUUGUGAACAUCUUCAGCAGCUCCCUGAUGCUGUUGCGCACCCAUCCAUCUUUAGCAUGAACAACCAGAUUGUUACUUGUUAUAGGCGGAGGGGAGAUCAAUUCGGCGCAGCUUUGCGCCAAGGUAAAUAUGCAGCAUGAGCAAAAUUUCAACAACAUAUCCUAAAAGCGAAAUGUUUUGUGGAGUUGUGUUGUCUGCUCAUAAAAAGUUGUAGGACUCUCGGCAAUGGAUAUCUUGGCUCUCGCAUCGAUGAAGAGCGCAGCGAAAUGCGAUACGUGGUGCGAAUUGCAGAAUCCCGUGAACCAUCGAGUUUUUGAACGCAAGUUGCGCCUGAGGCCAGCUGGCCAAGGGCACGUCCGCCUGGGCGUCAAGCAUUAAAUCGCUCCACAAGACCUUAUAUGUGUUAUGCAAUGGUCUUAUUAGGAUGCGGAGAGUGGCCCGUCAUGCGCUUAUGUGUGGCAGGCUGAAGAGCGGGGAUGAUUCUCUCUUAGCAACGAUCGAUUAAUGGGUGGGAUGGAAGCCGCAGUUGAUCCUCAUCAUCGUCAGGUUGCUUUGCGAAAGCUUUGUCCAUAUCCCCGGCUAACCCAACUCAAUUGUCAUUGUAAGAAAAUUGACAUGCGACCCCAGGAUGGGGCGGGGUGACCCGCUGAGUUUAAGC
rnacentral:rRNA from 1 species